rnacentral:rRNA from 1 species
UACGUAGGGGGCAAGCGUUGUCCGGAUUUAUUGGGCGUAAAGAGCGUGUAGGCGGCCAAGCAGGUCCGCUGUGAAAUCCCGAGGCUCAACCUCGGCAGGUCGUUGGAAACCAUAUGGCUAGAGUCCGGAAGAGGAGAGUGGAAUUCCUGGUGUAGCGGUGAAAUGCGCAGAUAUCAGGAAGAACACCGAUGGCGAAGGCAGCUCUCUGGGACGGUACUGACGCUGAGACGCGAAAGCGUGGGGAGCGAACAGG